rnacentral:misc_RNA from 1 species
UUCGGACACACUGUUGGGUCCUGAGGGAUCAGGCUCCGCAUCGUCUCCUGCUGAAUUGGGGGGUGGUGGGGGUUGGUUUCUCUGGUUGUCUCCUCCUUUGUCUGCUCCGCGACCGGUUGGUUGGGGGUGGGGGUUGGUGGGGUUGUUGUUUGAGAUCUGCAUAGUGGACGCGAGCAUUUAAUUCAUGCCCCCGACUUUUUUUUGUUGGGGGGUGUGGUUUGUGCAUUGAUUGUUUUUGUUGUUUCUUGUGGGUGUUGUCCUUGUGGGCGUUGCAUGUUUUGUGUUGUUGUG